rnacentral:rRNA from 1 species
AGACAGCAGCCGCCACGGGAAUACAGAGGGUGCGAGCGUUAAUCGGAUUUACUGGGCGUAAAGCGUGCGUAGGCGGCUUCUUAAGUCGGAUGUGAAAUCCCUGAGCUUAACUUAGGAAUUGCAUUCGAUACUGGGAAGCUAGAGUAUGGGAGAGGAUGGUAGAAUUCCAGGUGUAGCGGUGAAAUGCGUAGAGAUCUGGAGGAAUACCGAUGGCGAAGGCAGCCAUCUGGCCUAAUACUGACGCUGAGGUACGAAAGCAUGGGGAGCAAACAGGAUUAGAUACCCGAGUAGUCCCUGUCUCUUAUAC